CUGUUGUGGGUAAACAUCCAUAAAUUCUACCCUGGCUGAGAAACAUUUAACUUUUUCGUCUAGGUUGAGUGUGUGCGUGUGUUUGUAGGGGAGGGGUAACCCCUUUUGAUCAACGGAUUGAUGGUUUUCUAAGUAAAUACUUAAUAUCCACAAGGAUUUUUUUUUUUUUUUUUUCGUUUAUGCUGCUUUUUCUCCCUUUCUGCACUAUAAAGGCUGGCCUCCCAAUUCCUACCCCGACCCUUUACCGUGGUCCAAUCCCACAAGAUUCCCCGAAUUUCUGCGCCGGGUGGCACCUGACGGCCAAAAGUGAAUCCCUGCGGCUGGCGCUAGCUAGGCGCGGAUAGGGCGGACUUCUGUCACCGGGGAGCAGGCGUGGGCCAAAGCCGAGGUGAUUUCUGACUGCUCACUGGCGAGCCUCGCGCGGCUGAAGGUCUCCGAGCCCCUCUGUUCGCUCCGGCAAGCCAGAAGUGCAGCUGUCGCGGGGCAGGAAGCUAAUCGCGGCCCCUGCGCCGCUCUGACAGGCCGAGUGGGGAGAAAAGGGGCUCAAGAGCUGUAGCUAGCAGCCUCACCCCUUGGACUAGGAAGCCACGGGAGCAAAACCUCCAACCCGGCCUGAAAGCAAGCGGGAGACCGCGGAGCCACCGCCACCGACUCAGCCCUGCCCAGCAGGGGCCCGCCCAGGGGCCACUCCCCAAGGGAGGCAGCCAGUCACUCGCCCGCCCUUCCGGGCCCACUCCCGAGGGGACGGUCUCCCGCCCGCCCUCACACACAGCUAGUUCCUCAGGCCAGGCCCCCAGGGCUUCGUCCACCUCUCACCUUUGACGACGCGAAACAAGAAUGAGAUGGGGCAAAUCUGUAGCUAGGUGUGAAGAACGACUGCAGGGAAACACACCCGCUCUCAUGGCAAUCCCAGUAAACUGAGAAAACGUGAUUAAACCUCAGGAUCUCCUACUAAUAGAGAAACAAAUGUAUAACGA